UACUAUAGCUGCACUGCUCUGGGUGUGCUAGGUCUCAUCUGUUCUUUGACAAUAAGCAGGACUGGGCCUGAUCGUUACUUGUAUGCGAGACUACCUGGGAACACCAAGUGCUGUAGGCU
rnacentral:rRNA from 1 species